AACUCGAUCUCAAAUCAAGUAAGACUACCCGCUGAACUUAAGCAUAUCAAUAAGCGGAGGAAAAAGAAACUAACAAGGAUUCCCCUAGUAACGGCGAGUGAAGCGGGAUGAGCUCAAAUUUAAAAUCUGGCUGGUUUACUAGUCCGAAUUGUAGUUUAUAGAAGCGUUUUCGGUGGCAGCCUGGGUAUAAAUCCUUUGGAAUAGGGUAUCAUAGAGGGUGAGAAUCCCGUCUUUGACUCAGUGCAUGCUACUAUGUGAUACGUUUUCAAAGAGUCGAGUUGUUUGGGAAUGCAGCUCAAAAUGGGUGGUAAAUUUCAUCUAAAGCUAAAUAUUGGCGAGAGACCGAUAGCGAACAAGUACCGUGAGGGAAAGAUGAAAAGAACUUUGAAAAGAGAGUUAAACAGUGCGUGAAAUUGUUGAAAGGGAAACGUUUGACACCAGUUAUGCGGGUGGAAAAUCAGUCUUUUGCAAUGGGGAGUUGUGGGCGUUCAGACCGCAAGGCUGGCGUUUGCUUCAUCUUUGUUGUAAGUGAUGCACUUUUUCAUUUGCAGGUCAACAUCAGUUUGCUUUGCUGGACAAAACCCCAAGGGAAGGUGGCAGCUUAGGCUGUGUUAUAGCCCUGGGGCGAUACAGUGGAGUGGACUGAGGUUUCGCAGUGUGUGCUCUCGGGCAAGGCUGACUGGGUGCUAUGGGAUCGUUCGGCGUACAAUGCAUGCAUUUUGCGUCGUGUCUUUUUCAUACUCGCUCAACUCGGCUCUUCCACACUUAGGAUGUUGACUUAAUGGUUUUAAACGACCCGUCUUGAAACACGGACCAAGGAGUCUAACAUAUAUGCAAGUGUUUGGGUGGCAAACCCAUGCGCGUAAUGAAAAGUGAACGUAGGUGCGAUCCGCCAAGGUGCAGCAUCGACCGAUCUUGAUAUUUUUGGAUAGAUUUGAGUAAGAGCCAU
rnacentral:rRNA from 1 species